UGAGAUCAGUUGUUACUUUAUAUACACAUGCAAGUCUCCGCACUCCUGUGAAAAUGCCCUUAAAUCCCUAUAAUGGAUAAGGAGCUGGUAUCAGGCACAAAAAUUAGCCCAAAACACCUAGCUACGCCACACCCACACGGGAACUCAGCAGUGAUUAACAUUGAAAAUAAGCGCCAGCCUGAAUCAGUUAAAGUUUAGAGAGCCGGCAAAUCUGGUGCCAGCCGCCGCGGUUACACCACGUGGCUCAAACUGAUCUCUUCCGGCGUAAAGCGUGAUUAAAGUUAACCUAUAACUGCAAUUAAACUAGAACUAAGCCGUGACACGCUUACUCCCAAGAAAACCACUAACGAAAGUCAUUGCAACCUUAAUAACU
rnacentral:rRNA from 1 species